AACGGACGCUGGCGGCAUGCCUAACACAUGCAAGUCGAACGAGACCUUCGGGUCUAGUGGCGCACGGGUGCGUAACGCGUGGGAACCUGCCUUUAGGUUCGGAAUAACUCAGAGAAAUUUGAGCUAAUACCGGAUGAUGUCUUCGGACCAAAGAUUUAUCGCCUUUAGAUGGGCCCGCGUUGGAUUAGCUAGUUGGUGGGGUAAAGGCCUACCAAGGCGACGAUCCAUAGCUGGUCUGAGAGGAUGAUCAGCCACACUGGGACUGAGACACGGCCCAGACUCCUACGGGAGGCAGCAGUGGGGAAUAUUGGACAAUGGGCGAAAGCCUGAUCCAGCAAUGCCGCGUGAGUGAUGAAGGCCUUAGGGUUGUAAAGCUCUUUUACCCGAGAUGAUAAUGACAGUAUCGGGAGAAUAAGCUCCGGCUAACUCCGUG
rnacentral:rRNA from 1 species